AUCAUUUUAGCUGUAAACUGUGCUCAUAUAAACUUCUUUAUAUACGAACCAAUAAUGUGUAUUUUACAAAAUUAAGAGCAAUAUAUAAAAUACUAUAAACUGACUAUAAGCGCUAAUGGCCAAACAGUAAAAUCAAAGUAAUCUGUAAAAAAAAAUUAAUAGAAAUUUACCCAUCGUGUUAUUUUAAUUGUGCUUUAUAAUUUAUUUCACUUAUAAACUAAUUAAUUAUUUUGGGAGGGAACCCCGUCGAUAAUUAUGGUAUGGUGUGUUUGAGUGGAACUAUAUUAAGCAUUUUAAAAUGUCCAUUUAACAUUAUGCGAGCUCCGUGACCUAUAUGCUACAGUGCGUGAUUAGAUAUUUAUUUAAUGUUUUGUACAUAAACAAUUAUCGUUAUAUUACAAUGAUCACGCCACCCAGCCGUCCCACUUUGAAUCGGUCGGUGGCAGUGUAUAUAAAGGUGUCCGAGAUCUCGAUUCCGGCAUAACACAUCCUUUUGUGCAGAUAUAUUCUUUGUUUUCACUUUAACCCUCAAAAACCAACCAAAAA